GACGAACGCUGGCGGCGUGCUUAACACAUGCAAGUCGAACGGAAAGGCCUCUUUCGGGGGGUACUCGAGUGGCGAACGGGUGAGUAACACGUGAGUAACCUGCCCUUGACUUUGGGAUAACUUCAGGAAACUGGGGCUAAUACCGGAUAGGAGCUCCUGCUGCAUGGUGGGGGUUGGAAAGUUUCGGCGGUUGGGGAUGGACUCGCGGCUUAUCAGCUUGUUGGUGGGGUAGUGGCUUACCAAGGCUUUGACGGGUAGCCGGCCUGAGAGGGUGACCGGCCACAUUGGGACUGAGAUACGGCCCAGACGCCGACGGGAGGCAGCAGUGGGGAAUAUUGCACAAUGGGUGGAAGCCUGAUGCAGCAACGCCGUGGGCGGGAGGACGGCCUUCGGGUUGUAAACCGCUUUCGCUCAUGACGAAGCUUUGUGUGACGGUAGUGGGUAAAGAAGCACCGGCUAACUACGUG
rnacentral:rRNA from 1 species